rnacentral:lncRNA from 10 species
GUGGGGAUGGAGUCUUGUUCUGUCACCCAGGCUGGAGUUCAGUGAGUGGUGCAAUCUCGGCUAACUGCAACCUCCGCCUCCUGGGUUCAAGCGAUUCUCCUGCCUCAGCCUCCCAAGUAGCUGGGACUACAGAUGCGUGCCACCACACCCAGCUAAUUUUUGUAUUUUUAGUAGAGACAGGGUUUCACCAUGUUGGCCAUGAUGGCACGAUGGUCUCGAUCUCUUGACCUCGUGAUCUGCCUGCCUCAGCAUCCCAAAGUGCUGAAAGUGACAGGGUAAGGAUUUGAAACUCAGGCCUGCCUGCCUGUCUCCAACCACUCAGUCUUUUCUUCAGCCACCCUGCGUCCGUUACAAUUCACACACUGUUUGUCACCACUGGCUAAUGGCUUUGGAUAUUUCUUCCUCUUAUCAGUGUGAGACAUCUGGGGAGGCUCCCCUUUUUUUCACCAUUUGAGGACUGAAAGUAAAUUUAGCUUCCUCAGCAGAAAGAAAAGAAGCUGUUUUGGAGGUUGGGAAGAGCUUUAGAAAAUGCGGCAUCACGUCUGUUGCCCCAUUUGAAGAAAGCAGCUCUGGAAAAGGCCUAGGACAUUAGUUGCUACAAAGUUCUAGAUCAUUCUGUGUGGUAAAGAAGUGCCUUUCACCUCCCACUGUGAUUCUGAGGCCUCCCCAGCCAUGUGGAACUGUAAGUCCAAUUUAACCUCUUUUUCUUCACAGUCUCAGGUAUGUCUUUAUCAGCAGUGUGAAAACGGACUAAUAUAGCAUCCGUUGUCCACUUCCUCCUUCCAUCAGUCUGCAAAAUUCCAUUUGGGGAUCCAUGUGGCUUCAGGGAAAUCAACUUUAUCAAUGUUCUCUGUUCCGUGGCAGCAGUGAUGGGUUCAGGGAUGGGCAUGUGACCUAAGCCAGUCCAAUCAGAGUGACUCUCAGGUCUUGCUGAAAGUGCCUGGAAACGAUGCCAUUUCCUUCCUGUUGGGCAUGAUGAAGGAAGCAUCUAGCCCCAGGAGCUCCUUCAGUCAUAUUAGGGCCUAAAAGGUGCCAGCCUUUGAUAAAGACACCAAAGGAUAUGAAAGAUAGCAUAAGACAGAACGGAGAGAUGGAAAGAAGCCAGAUCCUUGGUGAUAUUGUUGAGCCAACAGAUCAAGUUUGGCCUUAAGUCAGCCCUAAUUCUGUGCUUUUCAAUUAGAUAAGACAAUACAUGCCCUUUAUUAUUUAAGCCUAUUUGUGUUAGGAGUUCUAGUCUUUGCAAAUGAAAGCACCUAACUAAUACUAAUGUAGAUCUCUGUGGCCAUCCUUCUGGUAAAAGGAGAAGGCAGAGUCAAGGGUGACAUUACAUUUCCUGAAACUGGCAGCUCCAUCUCAUAGAAAACUCACGCAUUACUCAGUGAAAAAACGACCCCCUGUACACAAUAUCCACGUGGGAAACUCCUACUCACUCAUCAAGACCCAUCUCUAAUGUCCCUUCUGUCUCCUAGACUACAUUUACGUAAAAUUAAUCACUUCCUUCUGUUUUACUUCCAUAGAGGCAUAUUACUCAUUCUUUUAUGUAACUAUAAACACAGAGCAAUUACAUACAGCUCAAGGGCAGAGAAUGUCUUAUUCAUCCCUAAAUGCAUCAAACCCAGCACAAGCACAUAGAUGCUGGAUUCUCCAGGUUGCAUGGC